UUUGGGAACUAUAUCUCCCUGCAGUUCUCACCUGGUUUCCCACUGAAGCUAAGAUGAGCCUGGCCAGUACCUGGAUGGGAGACCCCCUAGGGGGUAAACUAAGGUUGCUGCUGGAA
rnacentral:rRNA from 1 species